UUUCAUUAAUGUUAAUGUAAAAUAAUAUUAUCGUAAUCUUUAAAGAAUUAUUGCAAUUUUUGGUAACGACGCAUUUUAAAAAUUUUAUCCCCUUCUUUAAUUAAGGCUAUGGGAUCGGGACAAGAACCGCCACGUGAUCACACCGUUAGAUGUUUCUGUUGAAACUCCCGCGCAUCAGCUUCGUCGGCGUCCCAUGUAACACUGCAACACCGACAGCACCCUCUGACACAUCCGAUGGAUGCUUUCAACGCUUGUUUACGUGUGAUUCUCGACAAGUUCGCUUGGGUUUUCGAUGCGGAAUGAGGGAGGAAAUCUGUUCACUUGCUGGUGUUUUGCUGUCUCGUGGGAGUUGGAUAUAACUUGAAUUGAUAAGAGACCCGGUGAAGUGGCAAUGUGGGAGCGCUGGAUUUCUAUGGCUGUCUGUUCAUGGGCGCAGAGUAUGCCAUUUUCUUGAAAUUCCCCUUGUUGAGUUAAAGAACUUUUCGAAGAAAUCUCCACUGGAAAAAGGGUUAUCUUUACGGGACCCUUGAGAAUCCCUGUGGAUAACAGUAACUAAGUUGAAGAAGACAUCCGUGAUUGAUGGAUGUGGAAUUGAUGGGUGCGUAAAAUCGGUAAUUCUGGUAUCUAAUCUUUCAGAAAGAUCCGCCUUGUCACCAGGAAAGCGGCAUCUAGUUUUGCAAGUUCUAAGGAGACAGCUGCAUUCCGUUCCCUGGUCAAUGCAGGCUCUGGUUCUAGGAGAACGGGAAUAAUGUAGGUUUCUGUGUCACUUGCUUUUUUGGUUGACUACGGAGUUGGAACUGUGUAACAUUGUAGUAUUCCCAAAGAGGAACCUCAGCGAGCAACUUUGAUGUUGGUUAAGAAAACACCUGUCUUGUGGUUAGAACGUCACAGAAGCAUUCUAAUGCCACUUGUUCGUGUUGUCGAAUCAUUGGCAGCAUGACUAGAAUAAAUGGUUGAUAGUUUCCUUGAGAUUUUUCAAGUCUUUACAUGCAUACCCUGUAUAGUGCAAUAGGUUCUUUUCAAGCGAAUAUUCCCUUUCAAUUGGCAGUUGGGCCGUCACAUUAGUAGGCGAUGCCUUGAUCUGCCAAGUGUCUUUGGCAGUUCCAAUGGUCUGAAAAGUAGAGGGAAAUUUUUGAGCCACUACAUUUUAGGUUCAGUAAGGUGGUCCCUGGGGUCCGUCCACAUCAACUUGAACAUAUCUACAAGUGCAGACUGGGCAGUGAGUCAGCAGAAACAUGGAUUCUGAGCACCAUUGACUAACAUGGCCCCAGUCAUCCCGAGAAACAGAUUCCAGAAUAUUUUGAGUGGAAAAGAUCUUCUCACUCUUUUAAAUCUCCUUUUUGUCUAGCUCAAAAGAUGUUAUCUUUUGACAUUGUUGGAUGGAUACAAGUUCUAAAUGUUCAUUAGGGUAACAUUGUUGCAUAAAGCAGAAAAUACGGUACAUGAUUGUUGGUGAUACAAGAAAGCACAAAAAACUCAUUGAUAAUCGAGUUGAAUUUUAGAGAAAAGGUUUUGCUCUGAAGUCCUUACUAUGUAAUUUUGGAUAAAUACUAAAUGCUGAUGCGUAAUUUGUCUGCUGAUUCUGCUUUUAGUUGGUGAUGAUGGAGGUCAAACAUGGGAGUCUGUCUUCUUUCCAGUGCAAUUGUAACAAAGCUAGCAAGUUCAUUGAUUAAACAGAUAUUGGAAAAUAACAAUCAUGGUUCCACUUUUUUCUUCUUCUAAUGUUUCAAUGAACUGUACGUGCAGCAUUUGAAGCUCCGUUCCUUCAUUGGGUAGACAUCUCGCCCUUCGGUUUUGUGUGACUCGAGGACAACAUCCACCCAUUACCAGGGCUAAUAUCGAAUGAAUGUAUCCUAUAGUUAAAUUGUUUGUUCCCACGGUUGUGUGGCACAUCAAGGGAUACACCAAAUUUAGAGUUUGCUGAUGUCUCAAUACAUACACCUUCACUCA